GGGGAAUUGUUCGCAAUGGGCGCAAGCCUGACGACGCAACGCCGCGUGGAGGAUGAAGAUCUUCGGGUCGUAAACUCCUUUCGAUCGAGACGAAUGGCCCUUGGGCUAACAUCCUGAGGGAAUGACGGUACCGAGAGAAGAAGCCCCGGCUAACUCCGUUCCAGCAGCCGCGGUAAUACGUAGGGGGCGAGCGUUGUCCGGAGUUACUGGGCGUAAAGGGCACGCAGGCGGUGCUGCAAGUUUGGGGUGACAGCUCUCGGCUCAACCGAGAGAGCGUCUCGAAGACUGCAGGACUUGAGGGCCAGAGAGGGACACAGAAUUCCGGGUGGAGUGGUGAAAUGCGUAGAUAUCCGGAGGAAUACCAAAGGCGAAGGCAGUGUCCUGGCUGGCACCUGACGCUCAGGUGCGAAAGCUAGGGGAGCGAAC
rnacentral:rRNA from 1 species